AGAGUUUGAUCCUGGCUCAGAACGAACGCUGGCGGCAGGCUUAACACAUGCAAGUCGAGCGCCCCGCAAGGGGAGCGGCAGACGGGUGAGUAACGCGUGGGAACAUACCCUCCGGUUCGGAAUAGCUCAGGGAAACUUGGAUUAAUACCGGAUACGGCCUAGCGGCGAAAGAUUCAUCGCCGGAGGAUUGGCCCGCGUCUGAUUAGCUAGUUGGUGGGGUAAUGGCCCACCAAGGCGACGAUCAGUAGCUGGUCUGAGAGGAUGAUCAGCCACAUUGGGACUGAGACACGGCCCAAACUCCUACGGGAGGCAGCAGUGGGGAAUAUUGGACAAUGGGCGCAAGCCUGAUCCAGCCAUGCCGCGUGAGUGAUGACGGCCUUAGGGUUGUAAA
rnacentral:rRNA from 1 species